CAUGGAUUUAAAAGAUAAUACAAUCCUUUUGCGCCAGCCACUAAUUUUUUCUAUAAUUUGAAGAACUAAAUUAGUGCCUUCAUAGAAAUUCAUUUACAUGAGAAAAUAACAAAUUAAUUAAAAGGAAAAAUCAUUCAUUUGUCUGAAAGCUUACAAUCCCUAUCCAUGGGAAAUAUAAAUUCUUUAUAUUUUACCACCAAAUCAUACUCAAUGUCCAAAUCCAAGUAGAGGAAGCUUCUUCCAUGUCCCACAAUGAUAGAUUUCAGUUGUUUUCCAACUCUGUUCAUAGUUAUCUGCUAGUUUGUAUGCGACUUGACUCGGCCUAGGAUCAUGUCCAAACAAUUUUGCAGUUGAUGAAAAUAGAAACAACCCUAUGACAGAAGAAUGCUUUCAAGCAUGAAACUGCUUGCCACCAACAAGCCUUUUCUGUGGUGUUUAAUUUUUUUUCUCUAAUAAGCAUAAUUUUAUUAAGGGUGAAGAGAAGAUAUAAAUUUGCAAUCAAAUCUCCAUUUCUUGCCAGAUACUAAAUUGCACGUAAGCUCCAGAUAUUCCAUUAAAACGGUUGUGCAAGCAAUUGAGCAGCUCUUUCAUGAUUAUGAUCCUUAAAUGUACUUGAACCAAAUGUUUGCAUUAGGCCUGGAGACAAGGACACACAUUUGAAGUAAUUAUUCACUAGGCAUUUCCCAAUUUUAUAGAAGAGCAAAGGAUAAAAAAGAUGUGCAAAUACUCCAUAUCUAUAAGAAAACUCCAUCUGAUCAACUCUGUUCUAGAGCAGGUAAUAACUCCACCA
rnacentral:misc_RNA from 1 species